CAGCCACAACACGUUGAAACAUUGGUUUCCAUACGAUCACCGAAGCUAAGCAAUGCCGUUCCUAGUCAGUACUUAGAUGGGUGACCGCUUUGGAAUAGCAGGUGCU